CAGGUCUGGGACAACCACUGGAAACGGUGGCUAAUACCGGAUGUGCCGAGAGGUGAAAGGUUAACUGCCUGAAGAUGAGCUCGCGUCUGAUUAGCUAGUAGGUAGUGUAAAGGACUACCUAGGCGACGAUCAGUAGCUGGUCUGAGAGGACGAUCAGCCACACUGGGACUGAGACACGGCCCAGACUCCUACGGGAGGCAGCAGUGGGGAAUUUUCCGCAAUGGGCGAAAGCCUGACGGAGCAAUACCGCGUGAGGGAGGAAGGCUCUUGGGUCGUAAACCUCUUUUCUCAGGGAAGAACACAAUGACGGUACCUGAGGAAUAAGCAUCGGCUAACUCCGUGCCAGCAGCCGCGGUAAUACGGAGGAUGCAAGCGUUAUCCGGAAUGAUUGGGCGUAAAGCGUCCGCAGGUGGCUAUGUAAGUCUGCUGUUAAAGAGUCUAGCUCAACUAGAUAAGAGCAGUGGAAACUACAUGGCUAGAGUGCGUUCGGGGCAGAGGGAAUUCCUGGUGUAGCGGUGAAAUGCGUAGAGAUCAGGAAGAACACCGGUGGCGAAGGCGCUCUGCUAGGCCGCAACUGACACUGAGGGAC
rnacentral:rRNA from 1 species